rnacentral:rRNA from 1 species
CGCCAGACUCCUACGGGAGGCAGCAGUGGGGGAUAUUGCACAAUGGGGGAAACCCUGAUGCAGCGACGCCGCGUGAGUGAAGACGGCCUUCGGGUUGUAAAGCUCUGUCAAUCGGGACGAAGAAAAUGACGGUACCUGAAGAAGAAGCCCCGGCUAACUACGUGCCAGCAGCCGCGGUAAUACGUAGGGGGCAAGCGUUAUCCGGAUUUACUGGGUGUAAAGGGGGCGCAGACGGCGAUGCAAGCCAGGAGUGAAAGCCCGGGGCCCAACCCCGGGACUGCUCUUGGAACUGCGUGGCUGGAGUGCAGGAGGGGCAGGCGGAAUUCCUGGUGUAGCGGUGAAAUGCGUAGAUAUCAGGAGGAACACCGGUGGCGAAGGCGGCCUGCUGGACUGCAACUGACGUUGAGGCCCGAAAGCGUGGGGAGCAAACAGGAUUAGAUACCCUAGUA